rnacentral:lncRNA from 1 species
UUAGGUUUUCUGAAAGAUCUGGACAAUCAUUUGUUAAUAGAAUAGUUUAAUAUGAUAUUUAGUAGAAUAGUGCGUUUAAGCUAUGAAGUGAUUAUAUGGCCCUGUUUGGCCUAGCUAUUUCAAAGUGAUUUGAAAAUCACUUUUAGGCCCAAUAGAAUGUUUGGUAAAGAUAUCUGAAAAAUCUAAUUCUGCUUUCUAAAAGCUGAAAACUGAUUUUUCAACUCCCAAAAGCAGAAGCUGAAAAAAUCUACUUCUCAAAACUGAUUUCCGUACAAGCUGUUUUCCCAUUUAAAAUUUUUUACUAAAAUAUCAAAAUUACCUUUAAACAAACAAUAUAAUUCUACCAUACCCUUUUAUAAUUAAUAAUACCUCUCCCAUUACUCACAACCAACUCCCAAACUCCCCACAGCCAACUCCCCACUCCCCACUCCCCACCUCAGAUUCAUUUUUGAAUUUUUAAAUUUUAAUUUUUAAAUUUUAAAUUUUGAAAAAUAGAUUUCAAACUUUAAAUUUUAAAUUUCAAAUCUUAAAUUUUAGAUUUUAAAAUCUCAAAUUUAAAACUUAAAAUUUAAGAUAAAUUUUAAAAUUUGACAUUUUAGAUUUUAAAAUUUAAAAUUAAAAAUUUAGAAAUUUUAAAUUUUAAAUUAUAAUUUUUAAAUUUCAAAUAAAAAAUUUUAAAUUUUUAAAAUUUAAAAUUUAAAUUUUAAAUAUUCAAAUUUUAAAUUUUAAAUUUUAAAUUUUAAAUUUUAAAUUUUAAAUUUUAAAUUUAUUUUUAAAUAUUAAUAUUUUAUAUUUUAAAUUUCAUAAUUAUUUAUAUUUUUAAAUUUAAAUUUAAAUUUUUAAUUUUUAAAUUUCAAAUUUACUUAUAAAUUUUAAAUUUUAAAUUUCAUAAUUAUUUUAAUUUUUAAAUUUUUAAAAAUUUAAAUUAUUUUUUAAAUUAAAAUAUUAAAUUUUAAAUUUUGUACAAUUUUGAAAUUUAAAAAUUUUAAUUUUAAUUCAAAUUUAAAUUUAGAUUUUAAAUUAUUUUUAAAAUAAAAUUUAAUAAACAUAUUAAUUUAUGCAAAUAUCAAAAAAAAUUUUGCCAAACAGUUUUUCAAAAUCAUUUCAGAAAAAUCAUUUUCAACUAAACUCAGCCAAACGUUCUACAGCUUUUAACCAAAAUCACUUUUCCAAACCAAAAUCACUUUUUCAAAAGUUAGGCAAAACGGACCCUAUGUCUGAUUAUAAAAAAUAAUUUCAGGAAUCUACCGAAUGCUACAAAUUGAAAGAGAUUCGUUAGUUGCAAAAAGUUAUAUGGAAAAUAAUGUCUUUACGAAAAGCUCAUGCACGGAGGCAAAUAAGUCUCGGUAAUAUUGUGAUAUUUGAGCUAUUAUCCGAAAAUAUGAAAACUAAUACCGUCUACAAUAGCUUCUCUUCUUGGAAGAAAAAACAUAAAUUCGAGAUAUCUCAUUCUUCCUUAUUAGAUUCAUCCUGAAUUUAAUAUUCAAUACGAUGUUAAAAUUAUGGUAUGAUUUAUAUAUAUUGAAACGUAUUUUAGAUUCAAGCGUGGAAUAAAUUCCUGGCAACUCAACUCGGGCUCCAACUCAACGUGGGCUCCAAAUAAAUUACUUUUUCGUCUUUUUUCCUAUUUUUUUUAGGUUUUCUGUUCUUUCUUGCUGUUUGUCUCCUAACCCGGAAGCCCUAGCUGCUUCCAUACUGUUUAACCUAGUUCAUUUCUUAAUGAAUGAAGAAGCUAGCUAGUCUUCCUCUUUCUCUCAAAAAAAAAAAAAAAAAAAAAAAAAAAAAAAAAAAAACUCAACUCGGGCUCUGAAAGUAGUAAAAGCCAAAUGAAUACAGCAGAACUGAUGCACAUUAAGCAUGUUAGCGCUUUUUUGAGCUGGAAAGAAAAAUUUUGUGAGGCUCUCGGAUUGGCGAAGAGAAUGAUCACAUCUGAGGUCUAGGAUCAAAAUAAUCAUUCCCACAAUUAUCGCAAUUUUCUCUUUGUAAAGUCACAAAAGCUCAUCAAAGAAAACCUUAGUAAAGAGAGAAAAAAGAAACAAUUACUACAGAGAAAUUUGUAACCAAUAAAAUACCAAAAAAUUAUGAACCUCUCGCAAGUAUAACACAACACAAUCAACUAUUUAGAUGUAUUGCAAACGUUAAUGGUGAAACUAGUGAACACCAUUGAGCUCUUAUAUGUUAAUAGCGAAGCACAAAUAAAUGCACUUCACAAAUUUAUUGUAAGCUUAGCCAAUAUAUAUAUAUAUAUCUAUCGUGGUAAUAUGAUUAAGCAAAAUAGUAAAACAGCACCAACGGCCUAAAAUAGAAAUAACUGAAGGUAACUCUAGAGUUGCGUUGAGUCAACACUCAAUUACAUACGAUCAAUAUAAUUAGAACACAUCGAUCUUACUACUCAGCAGUAAUGUAUCACAUGAUGCAAUCCAAGUAAUCUUCAACUUUCACGUACUUAAUCUCAGGAUACAGUUCUGUUGCCUCGACCGCAAUACUUGGAUCAAUGGCGCGGUUGGUUAGCUCUCCCUUGACAAAAACCGAGUAAGCUAUUGCAAAUUGGAAACUUAGCGGAUACGAGGACUCUGCACCAUCAAAUAUUUUCACAAUCAAGUUGAGCUAAAAGUUAGCUAUAUCAUAGAAGAGAUGGAAACAAUGAAUGUAUCAAAUUGAUCGUCAGUUUAUUUAUCGAAAAAAUGAUCGAUGUGGAAACUUAUCAGGUGUUGUGUGAGCUUGAAAUAAGACACUUCUGGCGUUCAGGUUAUCUUUUCGUCAUUGGACUUUUUAGAUGAGAAAAUAUGCAUGUCAUGAAAUUUGGGUCGGUUUGUAAAAUUCGGGGAGAACUAAUUAAAUUCUUCAAAAGAGAGAUUGGAGACAGCUUAAUUAAUUACCUUGUAUCUUCUUGAGAACAUCUUCCUCGGAUACAUGGAUUUUCUCAAGAGUCCUACCAAUUUUCUUCUCCCACAAUGAUACAAGUUGGUUGAGGGAAUAGAAGUUGGCCGGCGGGCUUAUGAAGAGCGUCUUGUUGAGAGUUCUCGGGUCGUCGACGGCUUUAAUGGUGUACGCGCCCAUGUCGUUCUCAUUAACAAAAAUAGCUGAACAAACAGUUCAAUGAAUGUACGUACACAAAAAAUCGUAGGAUAUACGCGCGCGUCAAGUAAACAUAAACACAAAUAUUAUGAAUAGGUACAUAGGUCCAGGUUUUGUAUAUAACCUUGAGGGUUUCCAUCGCCUAAGAUGAUCACUUUGUCCGUAGGAGGAUGUUCUGCUUCGGGUUGUCCGAAUCUUGGAAGGAAGAAGCCUUGGAAGCAGUUGCUACAAACGAAAGUGUGUGGAAUCCCUUCUUCCCUAAUUACCUGCCGAAGUUCAGUUUUUGUGUGCAGUACACUUGCCGCCGGCUCGACUAACUCAACAUGCUCGACGUCAGAGCCGAACUCAGAUGGAAGGAAUCUCUACUAUCCGUGUCAAAUUUUGUUAAAAUGAUUGCGUGAAAAAUUUACGACAUAAAUAUGUGUUCAUCUUCACAGAUUUAACAAAGAUGGUGAGAGAAAAUAUUGCUUUGUAGCGAGGACACGGCCGAGAAACACAUCAAUUUAGUGUUCGUAUGUUUUGAGAUCAGCAGUGUGUAGAAAUUUUCUGCUCAUCAUUUGUGGUAGAACGAAGAUCCAAAAAGAUAAAGUAAUUUCUCUGUGAAUAAUAAUGUUUUGCGAGUGUCGUGGCACUGAAAACAUAAAAGGAAAGUUUAAACAAACAAGUGUUUAAUUAACUAAAGGCAAAGAUUUUAGGAGCUGCUGAUCUAUGCUUGUUAUUAUAUAGAGUGCGUCUGGGGUGCUUUCGGAAGCACGGAACGCUCCGUGCUUCCACUUUGUUUUCGAUGUUGGGAUUUUCAAAUCGACGAUCGGCUCCGUUAGACUUGAUCUAGAGUAUUUGAAGUAUCUAGAAAAUAAAUUUUGCGAUUUUUCGAUAUCAUUUGCCUAGUGAUCGAAGUGGCUCAAAAUCAACGGCUGAAAAUAAAAAUCUCACAAAAUAUGAUGAUAUGACAUUAAAAUUUUAGAUAUUAAAAUUUUAGAUCAAAGUUAUUGAUCUUGUUUUAUAUGGUAUAAAGAAUUUUCUAUCAAAAUUUCACGUGAUUUGGAUAUUUCUACACCGUUAAACUUGCAACCGGCUCACCACGGCCGUUAAAAUUAUUGAUUUUGAGCCCCUUCGAUCACUAGGCAAAUGAUAUCGAAAAAUCGCAAAAUUUAAUUUCUUGGUACUUUAAAUACUCUAGAUCAACUCUAACGGAGCCGAUCGUCGAUUCGAAAGUCCGAACAUCGAAAACAAAGUGGAAGCACGGAGGCCUCCGUGCUUACGAAAGCAUACCAGCCCACUCUUAUUAUAUAUAU